rnacentral:tRNA from 1 species
GGAGGAUAUGCCGAGCGGCUAAGGCAAAGGUUUGCUAAACCUUGGCGGAGUAAUCCGUCGGUGGGUUCGACUCCCUCAUCCUCCGCCG